GUCGCGAUUCACCAGCUAGCGGACCUGGAGCGCCGAAACUACAGAGCGCUUGUCCUAGAAGUCGAUUUUCACCAGGUAGCGGACCUGGAGCGUAGAAACUACGGAGCGCUUGUCCGGAAAGUCGCGUUUCACCAGGUAGCGGACCUGGAGCGUAGAAACUACGGAGCGCUUGUCCGGAAAGUCGCGUUUCACCAGGUAGCGGACCUGGAGCGUAGAAACUACGGAGCGCUUGUCCGGAAAGUCGCGUUUCACCAGGUAGCGGACCUGGAGCGUAGAAACUACAGAGCGCUUGUCCUAGAAGUCGAUUUUCACCAGGUAGCGGACCUGGAGCGUAGAAACUACGGAGCGCUUGUCCGGAAAGUCGCGUUUCACCAGGUAGCGGACCUGGAGCGUAGAAACUACGGAGCGCUUGUCCGGAAAGUCG